GACGAACGCUGGCGGCGUGCUUAACACAUGCAAGUCGAACGGAAAGGCCCUUCGGGGUACUCGAGUGGCGAACGGGUGAGUAACACGUGGGUGAUCUGCCCUGCACUUUGGGAUAAGCCUGGGAAACUGGGUCUAAUACCGAAUAGGACCACGCGCUUCAUGGUGUGUGGUGGAAAGCUUUUGCGGUGUGGGAUGGGCCCGCGGCCUAUCAGCUUGUUGGUGGGGUAAUGGCCUACCAAGGCGACGACGGGUAGCCGGCCUGAGAGGGUGACCGGCCACAAUGGGACUGAGAUACGGCCCAGACGCCUACGGGAGGCAGCAGGGGGGAAUAUUGCACAAUGGGCGCAAGCCUGAUGCAGCGACGCCGCGUGAGGGAUGACGGCCUUCGGGUUGUAAACCUCUUUCACCAGGGACGAAGCGUAAGUGACGGUACCUGGAGAAGAAGCACCGGCCAACUACGUG
rnacentral:rRNA from 1 species